UUUAUUUUGUUGUGCUCUUUCAAUGCCUACGUAUGGACUAUCCAGGUCAAUUCGCUGGAUGCUCCAGUGUAAACAGGAAGCUUGAAGCUAUUUCAGAAUGGGUAUUAGACAAAGCUGACGUACCAUGCGAAAAUGGCCUGAGCUCAUGCACGUCCCUUAACGUUUGGGAGCCCUGUUCCUUUCAAGAUCAAUUAGUGAUGCUGCCACUAGAAUUAUUCACUCUAAAAGCUGAGGAGAUUGCUACUCAUAUAUUUAAUUUCGAAGUUUGGCAAAAUUUGUCACCUGAAAAUAAGGGAGAGUUAAAUAAAUAUUUGCCAAAUACAUCAGAUCCAACUGAAUCAGACUCGAUUGUGAAAUGGAUUUUUUCCAGAGAAAACGUUAAAUUUGGAAAUCCUGUAUAUCAGUUCAUCAAGAAGUUAUUAAGUGGUGAAUACCAUUUGAUGAUCUCUCGAUUAAAAAAUAAAAUUCGAGAAGUUGAGAAGAAACUCCAUCAUCUUUCAAUGAAGUCAUAUCAUAUUCGUUUAAUUCGAUUUGUCCUAGAAUACAAGAGAAAAAUAGGUCUUCGAGUAGAUGAUAACUUGCUUAACUUUUUUCGUCAGCUGCCAUCUGACACAGAUAAAGAGGCAUUCCGUUAUUUAUCUCGAGCCAGAAAUCGUUUACUAAUGCGCGUGAGAAGACGACACAGCGGAAUCCAAUUAUCAGAAUUGAUAGGGCAAAUAUCGAAUGUUAUUUCGAAUUUGGAGCAGGAGUUGUUGAAAAUAAGUCGACUCAAAUCGAGCUCAAGCACCGAAGACAUGCCAUCUAUUGAUGGAUGGAUGGCGGAUUCAUUGAGUCCCGAUUCACUAAAUCCAGACCCUAUAUCCUAUCAAAUUUCUUCGCUAUUGAAAAAUCCCUUACUAUCUAAUUCAUUAUCCACGGCACAUAAUUUAAGUGGCUAUAGUUGGAUUUCAUGUCCAACGUUGCUGUCAGAUGACAUUUACAUUCAUCUAGAAGAUGAGCUUGAUGACGACGAUUCGGACAUAGCGUCUCUUCAAAAUAUUUCGUGUGAUCAACUAUCAAACAUGGAUAAUUUUUUGUUAAUGAAUGACGAAGACGGUUUAAUUGACGAUAAAAAAUUACUAAAACAAAAUCUUCUAUUGAAAAACAAAAAGAGAAAGCGCGAAGAACUGAAUGAAGCUGAUUCGACGAUGAUGAUGUCCCUUACUUCUAAGAAAAAGCGUGAAAAGAGAAAAGAGCGUAGGAAGAUGCUACCCGUAUUACCAUUUGAAGAAGUAUUUUCACUUUUUCCGACGAUCAAGCGAGAAAUGGAAAAGCAUGCUCCUAGUCCCGUCUCUUUUGAAACUCUGUAUCAUGCGAUUGAAAAAGAGCCUAAAUUGAUGGCACAGAUACCUGUAGGCUACGAUUUAACUCAAGUAUUGGUAUUUGCAUUAAACAUUCUUCAGAAGCCACCUGCAGACUUUGUACAAAUGAGUAAUAACGGUACAGUUGCCAAUAGUAAAGGUGGUUCCAGUCAAGCUGAAGCACAUAGUCAGGACUUUAAAAACGAAGAUAAGAAUAUCGCAAGUAAACAGGCCCUCAACUCUGCGUCAUUCUCAAAUCAGUCUUCUUCAUCUCCACUUUCACCAUUUGUUGUGGAAGUCGAUCCUGGUGCUUCUGGUUCUACAUUGUCUGGUAUGUCUUCUGAUCAUACACAUGCUUCUACUUCUUCUACCUUGACAUCUGGAAUAUCUAGCCCUUUUUUGUUUAAUUCUGUUAAAGAUAAACUUUAUGCCUGGAAUCUGCCAUCGUCGAAUCUACUUGCUGAUCGUUUAGAGCAGUUGGAAAUUAUAUUUUUCUUUUCCCUGACUAGAAACCAACUCUCCCCUGACCACUUGGAGCUCGAAUUUAAUAUGUCGAAACAGAUGAAGGCACCCCAAACGCUUGAACCUAUACCUGAACAUGUGAGCAAGGAGUUUCGAGAACAAGAACUCGUUCGAUUUGCAAACGCUGAAUUUCCCUUUGUAUACCAUUUUUCUAACCCACCCAAGGGUCACUCGUCCAAAGUCAUUGCACCACCCUUGCGCAACCAAGUUUCAACAUUACGGCCGAAUACGUCUCUGCGCACUGAUCGGCCAGCUUUUGUAAGUUUGCUUGCAUUGGUCAGAGAUGCACUGUCUCGUUUACCAGGAGGUGUAGGUACUCGCCCAGAUGUUACGCUUUUGCUUAAAGAUUCACAAUACGUCUUAGACAACGUAGAAGCUACACAGCUUAAUUCCGUCGUUAGCGGCGGCCUAGAUCGACUUCAUUCUGAGUAUGAUCCUUGUGUUCGCUUCGAUAAUGACCUGAAGCUUUGGAUAAACCUACAUCGCCAGCGAAAUGAGCAAGACCACAUUCGUAUGAAGGAUAUCGAGGAGAAAUCUAAACUGCUUGAUUUCGGCCAUUCCUCUUCUGCAUCUUCAUCAAUUGCUUCACCUCCGUCUGACCCGGUGUCAUCAAAAUCAUCCCAACCCGUCAAUUACAAACAGUCCUCAUAUCUACAUAGUCAUAAUUCCGGCCCCAAAGCCGGAAAACAGUCCAGCUCUUCGUCUGAGCAACAAAAGGAUGGAAACGUAUCUUAUUCUUGUGUGCUCAGUGAGCGAUAUACAACUACAGAAGAUGGUAAAAAUAGUUCGAGCUAUUUAAGAAAUGCACUUGCGGAUCCGGACAUUACGAAGAGCACACCUUACGAAGGCUUUCAUGACGACGACGAAAUAAAGUCCUGAUGUUUCCAUAUUAUUAAAAUGUUCAUGCAGUACCACUCCUCCGACUAGCUCAUCAAACAGGCCUAAUAGUCUCGAAUACUUAUUAAUUUCCUUUUUUAUUGUGCGUUAUUUAUUAUGCUUGACUCAGUACUAAUACGUAGUGUUAUUAAAACGGAGGUGCUGUAAUAUAGAUGUUGCAUGCCAUACUAAAAUAAAAACUUCCAUGGUGUCAUAUAUAUUCAUUUUCCGUCUUAUUCGGUCGCUGGCAAUUUUUCUUCUGCAUACAUGUUCUUGCACGAUUGCUCUAUCCGUUGUGUUGACGAAAAAUUUUUAGAUUUUAACGGCUGAUACCAUUGUUUAUCUUGUUUUUUAACAACUCUUUCAAAUGAAGUCUAAAUUCUUACCGCUUAACGUCCGAGAUCUGAGGCGUUGUAGCCGAAUUAUUAAACUUUCUCGUUCGGCUUAUGAUUAUUGCGCCUCUGGGUCGAGAGACCAAUUUACGUUGAAGCAAAAUCUAAAAGCAUACCAAAAUUAUAAUAUCAUACCACGUGCAUUAGUAGGAGGUCUAUCCUCCGCGAAUACAAGAACCGCUAUUCUUGGAGAGUCUGUUGAUUUUCCUGUUUUGAUAGCGCCAACGUCUAUGCAUAAAUUAAUGCACCAAGAUGGUGAAGUUGCUACUUAUAAAGCGGCUCUUAAAAUGAACACGAUUUAUUGCAUGAGCAGUCUGGCGACAACUACAGCAGAAGAUAUAGCAAAGCACAGUGAUCGUUUACGCUGGUUUCAAUUGUAUAUUGCAAAGGACAGAGAACGAACCAAAAGAUUGGUUUUUAAAUUGACACAGCUGGGGUUCAAAGCAUUAGUUCUAACGAUCGACACACCAAUUUUGGGAGUUAGAGAAAAGGACAUAAUAAACGGUUUCAGCCUGCCAAAUGGGAUGCGGCUUGAAAACUUCGAAGAUGAUCCGAAUGCUGCUGUUUCAGGCGAGCAUGGGAUCAUGUCAGGCUUAAAUCGAUUUUUUCAUACCUCUGUUGAUAUGGAUUUAAAGUGGUCAGAUAUCAAUUGGUUGAAGAGCAUAACAAAUCUGCCUAUUAUUUUGAAGGGGGUUAUGUGCGCUGAUGAUGCACAGCUUGCUCUCGAUCAUAACGUAGCUGGAAUUAUUGUUUCAAAUCAUGGCGGCCGACAACUUGAUACAGUUCCAGCUACAAUUGAUGUCUUACCAGAAAUUGCCAAUGCGGUUUGUGGGCGUAUUCCUGUGCUUUUAGAUGGAGGUAUUCGUCGUGGAACGGACAUUUUUAAAGCUCUGGCUUUGGGUGCUAAUGCUGUGUUAAUCGGUAGACCCAUCUUGUGGGGCUUAGCGUACAAUGGUGAAUCUGGCGUUGAACUUGCCCUAAAUUUUUUGAAAACAGAGCUUCUAGAAACUAUGAUCUUAAGUGGUACUCGUUCUAUUGACGAAAUUCAGGCAAAGCAUAUAAGAAGAGCAAUUUAGUUCAGAAGAGCUCUUUAUGUAUAAAUUAAA